AACGAACGCUGGCGGCAUGCCUAACACAUGCAAGUCGAACGAUGCCUUCGGGCAUAGUGGCGCACGGGUGCGUAACGCGUGGGAAUCUGCCCUUGGCUUCGGAAUAACAGUUAGAAAUGACUGCUAAUACCGGAUGAUGUCCCCCUGAGAGAUCUUGGGGACCAAAGAUUUAUCGGCCAGGGAUGAGCCCGCGUAGGAUUAGGUAGUUGGUGGGGUAAAGGCCUACCAAGCCGACGAUCCUUAGCUGGUCUGAGAGGAUGAUCAGCCACACUGGGACUGAGACACGGCCCAGACUCCUACGGGAGGCAGCAGUGGGGAAUAUUGGACAAUGGGGGGAACCCUGAUACAGCAAUGCCGCGUGAGUGAUGAAGGCCUUAGGGUUGUAAAGCUCUUUUACCAGGGAUGAUAAUGACAGUACCUGGAGAAUAAGCGCCGGCUAACUCCGUG
rnacentral:rRNA from 1 species